rnacentral:lncRNA from 1 species
AAAGGGUUGGUAAAAAAAAAAAAAGAAAGAAAGAAAGAAAAAAGAAAGAAAAAGAAAAAGAACUAAAAAUGGCCUUUUAUAAACAGGAGAAAUUGGUGAGCGAGGGCUCUGAUUAUGGGACAAUUCAGUUUCUGUUGAUACUUUGUGUGUCCCUGCCUCCCCCAUCCCUCCUCUGGGCAGAAUGGAACGAGGAUUUCAUGGGCUUUUCAUGGCUCCCAGCAAGGUAAGUCUGGCAGGUGGUCUCCUUAUUUUACAGCAGAGAGAAGAUUCCCAGGGACUGGGGGGUCCUUGCUAGUAAAUGACAGCAGGGGACAUUGAAGCCGAGGUCCCCACUCCUGCUUCAUUCAGCAUGCCAGUGCCUUGUCCUCCAGAAGUAUGCCGCAGUACUUGGCCACGGUCUGUAUUAAUCAGUCCUUCGGGGUUUUCUGGAAAUGAUAAGAUGAUGGACUACAAUGUUCGGCUCCCUUGGCAAGUAUUCAGCACAUGAGAGCUACAGUAAAAAUGAGCAACAAAGCAGUGGGCUAGGACCUGAGUGGAGGGAAAAACAAACAAAAUACCUAACCAGAUGACUCGAAGAUUCUGCUUCCUUCCUAAGAAGGGUUUCCUUUUCGUUCGGCUUUCCCCGACCUGGAGCACACAGCACUCACCCGCCGCGGGCCUUUCCCCUCCCGGGCUCAUCAGCCUGGGCUCCUGUGGCUUCUGUCUGCCCUCGCUUUGGUUUCGUUAGAAAUACACCUGCAUCCAAAGCUGAUUCCACCACUUUCCAGCUGUGAGACUUGGGACUUUCUGGUCCCUCUCCCUCCUUGCUAAAAUGUGGAUAAAAACCCCCAUCAGAGAGGCAUGCGAAGGGCCACAGGCUCCACGUGGGAAGCGGUGCCUUCUGAGGCCUGACCUGCUGCGCACAUGUUAAGGAG